GUCUCCUGCCAUAUCAGCCUGAAGGUUCCCAAUCUCGUCUGAUCUUCGAAGCUAUGCAGGAUCCGGCCUGCAUAGUACUUAGUACUUGGAUGGGAAACCACCAGGGAAUACCAGGUGCUGUAGGCU
ensembl:rRNA 5S_rRNA 5S ribosomal RNA